rnacentral:rRNA from 1 species
CCUACGGGUGGCUGCAGUGGGGAAUAUUGCACAAUGGGCGCAAGCCUGAUGCAGCCAUGCCGCGUGUGUGAAGAAGGCCUUCGGGUUGUAAAGCACUUUCAGCGGGGAGGAAGGCGUUAAGGUUAAUAACCUUGGCGAUUGACGUUACCCGCAGAAGAAGCACCGGCUAACUCCGUGCCAGCAGCCGCGGUAAUACGGAGGGUGCAAGCGUUAAUCGGAAUUACUGGGCGUAAAGCGCACGCAGGCGGUCUGUCAAGUCGGAUGUGAAAUCCCCGGGCUCAACCUGGGAACUGCAUUCGAAACUGGCAGGCUAGAGUCUUGUAGAUGGGGGUAGAAUUCCAGGUGUAGCGGUGAAAUGCGUAGAGAUCUGGAGGAAUACCGGUGGCGAAGGCGGCCCCCUGGACAAAGACUGACGCUCAGGUGCGAAAGCGUGGGGAGCAAACAGGAUUAGAUACCCGGGUAGUC